GAUUUUCUACUUUACCGUUUAAGAGCGUCAAAUACAUAUAUGCAUCGUCAGGAAGAAAUAAAUUGAUUAUUUCACAUUUCUGCAAACGAGUUUCUUACCAUGAUUGAAUGGCCAUACUAUUUCAAAUUUAAGCAGGGCAGUCAGAAUGCAUUUAUAUCGAAAACUUUACUGAAUUAAUCAAUAAAAAUCCCCAAAAUGCAGGUUAGAACCUCAAUGGCACAUUCAUGCUAGAUAAACAAAUUCAUAUUUUGAACCAUAGACUAUCUCAUAUACAGCAAUUGUACCAAGUCUCGCGUGAGAUUGGUUAAAUUCCAUACCUAUUACUGAUGCCUCUCAUCUCACUUCUGGUAAAAUAGAAAAAUAAAAUGCAGUGGGAGUGCAGGACAGAAGACCGAGGUACAUAAACUACAUAAAUCUUAUGUGCUUGGAGCUCUAUUGUUCUAUGCAUUGUCGUAAAAUAUCAUAGGCCUGAUUGAAACCUCAGUUGCAUCCAUGGAAACAUUAAAGGGAGCAAUUAUAUCAUAAAUAAUGUCCAUUAUUCUAUCCUCACUUGGUUAGUGACCAAGUGGCUACAGAUCGUAAACAGAUGCUUGGUGGACCAUAAAAGUAGAUAUUCAAUAGUUUAAGAGGCUAAAUUUUAUUAAAAAAAACUGUUUUGUGCAGAGCUACAAAUCAUGAGCAACUGUAACUAAGUGUAGACAUUACCAACUAAAUAUUUUCAUAUAAACGUUCAAGUUCUUGAACAACUUUUCAAUAUCAAGGAUCUUUGUACGGUGGACAGCUAUCUCUAAAGAGCACUAAGCUCCUAGGGUUGGGAGUGCUUCUGGUUCAACGGCGGGUCGUUGUCGCCGGCCCCACCUGUGGGCAUGUUGGCAAGUCUGUGGAGCGCUUUCCUUCUGCGUGGGCAUGAGUGCGUGUUGGUGUCUCUCAGUCUCUGUGUGUAGGGCAUUGACUGGCCUUCUGUAUGUCGGUUCUGUCGACCGUAGAAUUAGGCUCGCUCCCGUUAAAAGACAAAAAAAUCAGGUACCCGCAUCCUCUUCUGUUCGCCACAUAGACUGCCUUCGCCGCCUCUUAUGCUCCCCCGCUGAGUUGCGGCAACCAUCAAGACACCCCCACCACCGUCACCACCCGCAACGAGGAUUUGCUGGCUCCGUCUAGAGGAGGCUAGGAAGCAUUUAACGCGGCAGGUUGCGGAGGCGACGACUGAUGGAGGCGGGCCUGAUCGGUCCGGGGUGUAGGCGAGGUCAUCCAAGGUUGUUCUGUUGCCAGUUCCCUUAUAGGAGGCGUGGCCGUGUGACAAGGAUGCCGAGGGUCAAUAUUCCACCACCCCAGUGUCCAUCGCCGUCACGCAGGACGCCCGAGUAGAGGGCCUAUGCUCCGGGCGAGAUCCUCCUCCUCCUCGACCCUGUAUCUGUGGUUUCUUCUUUUUUCCAUUAAACUAUUCACAUCUAUAGCUUUUCCUUCUUUCCCCCAAUAGAUUUAUGAUUUGAUUUAGGGAAGAAAAGGUCCAAACCUGCAAUACUCCGUAUGUGAUUUGGAGGUUAGGUAAUCUGUUGGCAGUAGAUCAUUUUGAUAUUGAAGUGAAGAGGUUGAGAUGGGAGAUUUUGUUUUUUCUUGAUGCUUAAAUUACCGAUUUGGUAGCAAUUCCAAAAAUUUGUAAUCCAUGUCCAAUGUUUUUCUCGAUGACAAGAUUUAGUGGUACUUACUUCUACUCCUACUCAUCUUUUUGUGGAGAAACUACAAGAAACCUUUAACAUAUUUGUUAUCUUAUGUCCUGGAAAUUGCUGUAGAGAUUUUUUUUUCUAUAACUAUAUUUUGUAAUAAUAGUUUUACCAUUAGUUUGCUGUCAUGUUAUUCGGUCAACUCGAGGGUAUAGAUUUAGUGGUACUUACUUCUACUCCUACUCAUAAUUUUUCAUUGUUUGCUUCUGUAUCCUUUGAUUUUUUUACUUCAGAUGACAUAUGGCGCCUAAAGGCUUAGUUGAGCAAUUUUUUCAUGUACUUGAUGCAGCUUGAAAAUACACCUACCAGCAGAGAUUCUAUUGGUGCAAAUUGAUAUUUGAAUUAGAUGGAGAUGUCGGCUAGCAUUAUCAAGCUAGAUAAAUGUAUGAAGUACUAACCAUGUAGCUAUGUAAACCAGAAACACAGAUGCUGAUGCAAGUGAUCCCCGUGGCCUUGAAGGGUCUAGAUCGCUCAAUACAAAAGAACAUAAUAGCACAAGAAAGAAAGGUGGAAAGUAACUAGACAGAGUGUGCGAAGUAUGGACUAUGCAUAAAAGAUUGCUACAUCAUGAAGUGGUUUAAUACCUACGUUGAAUUUUCCAUUUUCUCUUCUAGACGAGGAGCAUGAACAAGAAAGUUAGUGGUGGUGGGAUGAAAAUUGCUCCUAGGCUGGAAGGUCGAUGGAUAUGUUCUGCUUGCUAGAGAUUUGAGUUCUUGAUUGUUUUUGUUUGCCACGCCCAUCAAACUCAUAUUGCCUCUUGUGCAUAUUGUCCCACACGAUUGUAGGAGCAAGGUUGGACUACCAUCGACCUUGAAUGUUUUGGUGUUUCGAUGAUUGUAGUUAGUGACUUGGCCACAAGUGAAUACCAAACUAAAAUGUGUUUUCAUACAUUGUAUCUAGACAAAUUUGGGUCGCUUUUUUUCUGAACAGAAUACAUGCCGACAAAAAAACAACCAUGCCGCAUAAAUUAAACGUUGGUACCGGAGGAUGACGCUGCAGAGCGCGCUAGGUUCAUCUAGUACAAAUCUAUCUUGGGACCCUAGUCUAUACAAGAAAGCAGCUAUGCCAAGAUAUAAUUUUUAUUUAUACUAGACUUUUAUAGUUUUAUUUUUAUAAGAUACAAACACAAGUAAUUUAUUUUUCUAGUUAAAACCACAUAACAUUAGUGUUGCAUAUUAGUCAUAGUGUUAUUUGUUAUGCAUCUCUAGCGCCCAUCAUUGAAAAUUACAUACCCGCCACACUAAAUUUAAAUUGAGUUUUGUAUCGUAUUUGUUUUUCCUUUUUUGAGACAAUGCCACUAAAUAGAUUAAGUGUAAUUCCUUUAAGCGCGAUGAAAUAUUAAAUUUUAUGUAUUCAGAAAUUUAUAGAUGAAACUUGCCUAAAUUAUAGUGUGUAUGUGUAUGUGUUUGUGUUUGUGUAUAUUUAAUAUUAGUAAUUCACCAAAAUAUUUAGAGAGUGGUUUCCAGUGCUCCUGGGUCGUGGCCUCACCUAACAGCCCAGUCCCACCACAUCCUGACAUUUCAGCCUCAUCCACUCCUGUCGCAGGCAGAAUUUCCAAAUCUCCCACCUCUCUCCUUCGCGUCUGAGUUCUGACGGGAGCGGCCAUGGCAUCGGCUGCAGCUGAGAAGGGGAAGGCCCCAGCGGACGCGGCGGAGUCGUCGGCGGCGAGCGCGGCGCGGCUGGCGCGCGAGUGGAGCACUUGGGCGAUGAAGAACGCGAAGGUGGUCGCCCACUACGGCUUCAUCCCACUCGUCGUCCUCGUCGGCAUGAGGUCCGAGCCCCGGCCCAGCCUCGCUCAGCUCCUCUCCCCCGUGUAGCGCCGUUCCUCCGCAAGGAUGCGCACAUAAUUGGGUCGAUUGCAUGUUGUAUUUUGCUCCCUGCAUAAUUACUGUUCCUUCCUGUUUGUUCUUAUUUUGUACCAUUCAGAGAGCCUACAAGCUAAUGUUUCAGUUGCCCCGGCAAAGGAUUACGCAUUUAUAUCUUCUUAUUAAGACUAGGGUUAAUUUACUUCUUGAUACUGA